GCCCAGGUGGUUUAGUGGUAUAAUUCUCGCUUAGGGCAAAGUUCCGAUUCCACAAUGAUAUCGAAGCUAUUCAAACCCGAAGCCUUCCUUGGGGGAAUGCGAGAGGUCCCGGGUUCGACUCCCGGCUUGGGCC
rnacentral:tRNA from 2 species